rnacentral:rRNA from 1 species
GAUCAUGGCUCAGGAUGAACGCUAGCUACAGGCUUAACACAUGCAAGUCGAGGGGCAGCGGGAUUGAAGCUUGCUUCAAUUGCCGGCGACCGGCGCACGGGUGAGUAACGCGUAUCCAACCUUCCGUACACUCAGGGAGUAGCCUUUCGAAAGAAAGAUUAAUACCUGAUGGUAUGAUGAGAUUGCAUGAUAUCAUACAUUAAAGAUUUAUCGGUGUACGAUGGGGA